AUGGUAUGAUGAGGACAUUUUCUAAGCAUUUUCUUAAAUCUCUCCCAACUUUUAUAAAUUGACUCCCCUAAUGGGAAAAAGAUGUGAUAUUUUUCCUAAGUUU